ACGAACGCUGGCGGCGUGCCUAAUACAUGCAAGUCGAGCGAAGUUUUUCUGGUGCUUGCACCGGAAAAACUUAGCGGCGAACGGGUGAGUAACACGUAAAGAACCUGCCUCAUAGACUGGGACAACUAUUGGAGACGAUAGCUAAUACCGGAUAAUAGCAUUAACUGCAUGGUUGAUGUUUAAAAGUUGGUUUUGCUAACACUAUGAGAUGGCUUUGCGGUGCAUUAGCUAGUUGGUGGGGUAAAGGCCUACCAAGGCGACGAUGCAUAGCCGACCUGAGAGGGUGAUCGGCCACACUGGGACUGAGACACGGCCCAGACUCCUACGGGAGGCAGCAGUAGGGAAUCUUCCGCAAUGGGCGAAAGCCUGACGGAGCAACGCCGCGUGAGUGAAGAAGGAUUUCGGUUCGUAAAGCUCUGUUGUUAGGGAAGAAUGAUUGUGUAGUAACUAUACACAGUAGAGACGGUACCUAACCAGAAAGCCACGGCUAACUACGUG
rnacentral:rRNA from 1 species